CUGCGCAUUGGGGUUGCGCUGGGGUGGGUGUCCAGCGCUGUAGGAGGAACGCGGUGGGAGGAAGGCUUGCGGGCGUGCGGACUCGGCUUCGGGCCGAGCGCUUUGAAGAAUUUUGCAGAACCCUGCUACCUACAGACUCUGCCAUGGAUGUCAUGUAAAGAAACCCCGGAUGUAGUAACGGACAAAACAUGAGUCAGUUUGUGUUGUGGCAUUCAGAUCUGAACACACUGGGAGAGAAGUGAUUCUGAAUGGAGAAGACGUAGGACCGGUCAGUGGUAGGAUGGACUGUGCUUGGAAGACAGGCACCUGGAGCUCUCAGUUUGGACUAGGCUGGCUGGCAGUAAGCCCCCAGGAUCCUCCUGUUCUCACACUAGGCUUGCAUCCUGAACUUCAUGAAAGAAGGCAGCAGGCAGAGGGCCACCAUUAUCAUCCUGUUCCUCCUGACUGUGGACACAGUGUGACCAGCUGCUUCAGGCUCCUGAUACCAUGAUUACCUUGGCACAGUGGACUGCACUCUGGAACUGUGA
rnacentral:lncRNA from 1 species